AGAUUGAACGCUGGCGGCAUGCCUAGCACAUGCAAGUCGAACGGGAGUAGCAAUACUCUAGUGGCGGACGGGUGAGGAAUACGUAGGAAUUUGCCCUUAAGUGGGGGAUAACCCGGGGAACCCGGAUUAAUACCGCAUGACCUCGAAAGAGCAAAGUGGGGGAUCGCAAGACCUCACGCUUUUGGAGAAGCCUACGUCGGAUUAGCUAGUUGGUGAGGUAAUGGCUCACCAAGGCCGACGAUCCGUAACUGGUCUGAGAGGAUGAUCAGUCACACCGGAACUGAGACCACGGUCCGACUCCUACGGGA
rnacentral:rRNA from 1 species